UCUUUUUUUUUUUUUUUAAGAUUUUAUUUAUUUAUGUGACAGAGAGACAGCCAGCGAGAGAGGGAACACAGCAGGGGGAGUGGGAGAGGAAGAAGCAGGCUCACAGCAGAGGAGCCCGAUGUGGGACUCGAUCCCGGUACGCCGGGACCACGCCCUGAGCCGAAGGCAGACGCUUUAACGACUGCGCUACCCAGGCGCCCCUCUAAUUAGUGUCUUGAUACAAGAGCCCUUAUUACCGUGUCACAGAUUCGUGGAGGGGAGGGGCGGCUUUAAAUACACUGAUAGCUGGAUUUCAGGAUAAUUGGCCCCCUUGUCAUCUUGUGGGUUUUACUGUGUGCAUUUAAAGGCAUGAUUCUAGGAAGGGGUCGAUGGAGUGAAAAAGCCUCAUUUUAUUUUUAUUUUAGUCUUAUUAAGAUUUUAUUUAUUUGAGAGAGAGAGACAGGGAGAGAGCGAUUGAGCAGGGGGAGGGGCAGAGGGAGAGGGAGAAGCAGGCUCCCCAUUGAGUAGGGAUCCCAAUGCGGGGCUGGAUCCCAGGACCCUGAGAUCGUGACCUGAGCGGAAGGCAGAUGCUUCACCGACUGAGCCCCCAGGCGCCCUGGACAACCUGCCUCUUUAAACAUCCUUUGAGCUCCCAGUUACUGGGGCUACUGUUUUGUCUUGCUGUGUUGCCGAUCUCUGAAUCAGGGAGUCUCCGUGUGACAAGUCUCCCUGUGUCCUUACAGCCCUCUCCCCAAGGCACAAGCUGACNNNNNNNNNNUGUAGCUCUCUCCCUCCCCAGCAGUCAAAACCGGGUGAAGAAAUUCUGGCACAUUCUACAACAUGAAUGAGCCUCGGAGACAUCAUGCCAAGUGGAAUAAGCCAGUCACAAGAGAACAGAUACUGUACGACCCCACUGCGGAGGUGCUGAGAGCAGUCGGGUCCAUCCAGACGGAAAGCAGAACGCUGGCGGGCAGGGCUGGAGGAGCGGAGCGGGCGUCAGUGUGUAAGCGUUUAGAGCUUCAAGUUCGGAGGAGAGCUGGUGGUGUUUGCACAACGUGCAGGAAGGAUUUAUUUCCUUCAGAGAGAGUGAGAGAGCCAGGUGCACAAGCAGGAGGGGCAGAGAGAGAGAGAGAAUCUCAGGAAGACUCCCCGCUGAGCAUGGAGCCCAAUGUGGUGCCUGAUCUCACGGCCACGAGAUCACGACCCAAGCUGAAACCAAGAGUCGGCGGCUUAACCGACUGAGGCAGCCAGGCGCCCCAAAUCUGUUCUUUGAAGCCACCCGUUUCCACAGCCUGCUUGACUGCUCUUCCUCUCCAUCUAAUGCUGUUCACAUCCCCAGGAGAUCCUCAUUCUUCGUGGAUGCCCUUAUCUGUGAAUUCCUCUGCUUGUUUAAAUUUAUUUGUAACCCUCCAAACUCGAAGCACCUUCACAGACAUGCGCAGAGCGGGAAAAAAAUCUGGGUCAUCCAACGUGCAUGUUUCCAACUGAAGUUGAGGAAAGCAAUGCUCUGCCCCGACAGUUUCAGCGCUCACACCCGACAAGCGUCCUUUUCAAGGUCUGUUUCCCGCCAUGGUUUCGCAUUUUUGUGAUUUUGCUGGUGACGUCACUGUUUUAAAUGCCCUAGUGCUGAAAUGCGGUCCGGUGUGCCAAAGGGGAAGAAGGCUGGGGUGUGCCUCAUAUAGAACAUAUGUGUUAGGGGCGCCUGGGGGGCUCAGUUGGUUAAGCGUCUGCUCUCAGCUCAGGUCAUGAUCCCAGGGUCCUGAUUGAGCCCCCAUCUGGCUCCCUGCUCAGCGGGGAAGUCUGCUUCUCUGACUGCUCUGCCUGCCGCUCCCCCUGCUUGUGCGCACUCUCUGACAAAUAAAUAAAAUCUUCAAAAAAAACCCA
rnacentral:lncRNA from 1 species